rnacentral:lncRNA from 1 species
UUCCUGUUAUAUUGUUAGUUUCAUUUUGCAGUUGGAUAAAUAGGGUUAGAGAAUAGGAGGCUUUUCCAGAGUUAAGCAGCUAGAGAUAACAUCAUAAAUAUAGAAGAAAGUGGCUUCUGAAAGGUGUGUUAAAUGUGUAAAAGCUUACUUCCCUUCUCCCAUAAAAGAAGUUGGCGUAAAGGCAGUCUAGGCUUGGCAUGGUGUUUCCGAGACCAUGCUUCAAUCUUUCUCCUCCAGAAUCAUCAGACCAGUUUCUAACCUCAAGUUUACUGCAUGGUCCUACGAUGUCUGCUGGAAAGCCUGUCAUCACAUUCACAUUCCAGGCAGACAGCAGGCGCAAGUGGAUGAGGACAAAGAUCAUUUAUUCCCUCCCCUUUAAGACCCUCCUGAAAGUCAGUCACACAUGACUUUUCCCACUUCAUUGGCCAAAACUUUAUCUCUUGACCACUCCUGGCUAUAAAGCAGCUGGCAAUGCCAUCAUUUCAGGGGUUUAUAUGUGCUGUUCUAAAUACUGGGGUCUGUUCUUACGAGCAGAAAAGAAUGAGAGAAUGGAUAUUGGGAAGCAAGAGCAGCCUCUGCUCCAGCUAGAGAGGGGCAGAAAGACCCUGGUGUAUCCUCAGACUGCUGUACCCUAUGCCUGCUCACAGGACAGACAAGAGCCUUUUAAGGGUGAAGACAGGACUAGACCCCAGCCUCCUGGUCACAUGACUCAGAGAUCUCCCAUAUCCUUUUACCUUCUGUUGCAUGGAGUGGAAUGGGUCGGAGUUUGAGAUGUGGAUCUUUGUGUUAGUCUGAGACUUUUUCUGUGUGGGAGAGAUUGUAUCCUACACACAGUCUAGAAGACAUUGGGGAGGCCCUGAAGCAAUUACUAUUGCUAGAAAUAAAGUGUAGAGACAGAAGUGGGGAUGGGAUGGUACUAGAGAGUUAGGCACAAGUCGAGUGAUGAGAGGUUGAGUCUGGUCUGCACAGGAUCCUAAUAGAUCUUAACAGGCUGCAGCAAUGGUCUAAGCAUAAUGAGGCAAAACUGAAACUGAACAGGAACAGAACAUGUUACACCCGAGUCCAAAAGAAAACUAACAAGAUGCACUGAUGUGACUUAGUAUCUUCAGGAUAAAAAUGACAGAAGCACUUCAGUAAUAUCAGCCAUAAUGUGUAAGGGAGUUAUUUUGAUCUCAGCCUGCAGGAGCAGAGAAUUUCAACGAGGUGAGAGGCAUGCUUUGCCAUGCACAGGCUAGACCACACUUGUCAUGCUGCAUGUAGUUCUGAAAAGGACAGACCAAAGUUUUAAAAGGAGAGAAGCCAGGAUGGGAUUGAAGAAUCCUCAGGUUGUAUAUUUAACAUUUUUAUCAGUCACUUAGGUCACGCCUGCUUACCAAAUUUGUGGAUUACUCUAAUCUGACAGAGGUGGUAGAUACAGUGACAGGCAGAAUCAGUCAAAUAGAACAAUGAGCCAAUGCCAGGCUAUGAAAUUGAAAACAGAUCAAGGUAUCUCACCCCCAAAAAUGAUAAGUAUGUGAAGUAAUGCAUAUGUUAAUUAGCACUAUUUAGCCAUUUCAGAAAGCCUGCUUAUUUCAAACAACAUGCUGUACACAAUAAAUAUAUAUAAGAUCUGUGUCAACUAAAGAAUUAAAAUUAAAAUUAAAAGUCAAAGAAAAAAAAAGAAAAAAGUUUGGAAGAGCAAUCCAUUGUUCAAGAAAGGGAUGAGAGAGACCUGGUACAAUGGCUGUUCUAACAAAUCAGCACUUUAGUGGGCAGCAGGGCUCAUCAAAGUACCAGUGUGUCUGUGUGUGUCCCAGGCUGGUGGAUGGUGGGCUUCCAAGGAGCCUCCAGGCAGCACUGAUAUUCAUGACUUCACCCAAGCCAGGAUUUUGACCUUGGCUUUGUGGGUUUAGAUUUUCAAAGUGUUUGAGUUUCCUGGACUUGGGGAGGCUGACUCUCACUAACAAUGCUUUUAGGAGACUGCAGAUGCCGAAAGUAUUGAUUUUCAGCAUGAAUUCUACUUGUUAGGUACCUUAAACCUGAUCAGCAUACAUAUGGUUCUUCUUCCAUGUAAGAAAACCACAUGAGGAACCAAAUAAUACCUCUAAGGAGUUUUGAGGAGGAUGGAACUGAAAAGAGGGAUUAGGUUUGCAGCAGUUGACUUGGCCAUGGAUUUCUUUGGUGGCUUCCCCCUUUCCAGUGACCCUGGGAGGCAUACUGCCCCCUGCACUGUGGAAUCUCUCAGCCACUUGGGUCUCCUUUGCCAAGGAGUGUCCUCCCUCUGGAACUCAAUACCAGCUCUUUCUUCUUCUGGAAUCUUCUCUCAGCUCU